ensembl:misc_RNA Metazoa_SRP Metazoan signal recognition particle RNA
GCCAGGUAUGGUCGUGCAUGCCUGUAAUCCUAGCUACUUGGGAGGCUGAGGCAGGAGAAUUGCUUGAACCGGGGAGGUGGAGGCUGCAGUGAGCCAAGAUCAUGCCACUGCACUCCUGCCUGGGUAACAGAGCAAGACCCUGUCUCAA